CUAAAGUUCUCUAACACA
rnacentral:tRNA from 2 species